GUCGAGAGGAGGAAGAAAAGAGAGCUUGAGAGCAGUGGGAAUGGGAACAUGGAGGAAGGUCUAAAUUGCUUUGCUUUCACCUCUAGUGUUGGAGGUGAGAAUUUUGUUUGGUAUUUCCUGAUGCCUCCUAUUCCUAUUGUUCUCAAGCACUCCUUCCUUUUCUUUUUGGCU
rnacentral:pre_miRNA from 1 species